UUUUAUUAAAUAAUUAAUAAUACAAUCUGCUCAAUGAUAUUUAAAUAGCCGCAAAUUCUGUGCUAAGGUAGCAUAAUAAUUCGUUUUUUAAUUGAAAACCAGAACAAAAGAUUAAACAAUUUAUAAUAUAUAUAUAAUAUAUUUUUAUAAAUUCUUUUAAAUGUAAAAAAACAUUUAUCCAAUAGAUAGACGAUAAGACCCUAUUGAACUUAACUUAAGUUAAACUGGGGAAGUUCAUUAAUUAUAAUUUUAAUUUACAACAAAAAUGACCUAAUUAAUUUAAUUUUAUAAUCAAGUUACCAUAGGGAUAACAGCGCAAUUAUUAUAUAAAGAUCUUAUUACAAUAAUAGAUUACGACCUCGAUGUUGAUUAAUUUCCUCUAUAUUGCAAUAAAUAUACAAGAAAGUCUGUUCGACUUUUAAUAAAUUACA
rnacentral:rRNA from 1 species